rnacentral:rRNA from 1 species
UACGAAGGGGGCUAGCGUUGCUCGGAAUCACUGGGCGUAAAGCGCACGUAGGCGGAUCUUUAAGUCGGGGGUGAAAUCCCGGAGCUCAACUCCGGAACUGCCUUCGAUACUGAGGAUCUUGAGUCCGGGAGAGGUGAGUGGAACUGCGAGUGUAGAGGUGAAAUUCGUAGAUAUUCGCAAGAACACCAGUGGCGAAGGUGGCUCACUGGCCCGGUACUGACGCUGAGGUGCGAAAGCGUGGGGAGCAAACAGG